AGCACCAUGGCUUAGUUGGUUAAAGCACCUGUCUAGUAAACAGGAGAUCCUGAGUUUCAAUCCCAAUGGUGCCU
rfam:Gorilla gorilla gorilla genomic chromosome, chr5, whole genome shotgun sequence